AGGUGUUGGGUUAAGUCCCGCAACGAGCGCAACCCUCGUCCUUAGUUGCCACCAUUUAGUUGGGCACUCUAAGGGGACUGCCGGCGUUAAGCCGGAGGAAGGUGGGGACGACGUCAAGUCAUCAUGGCCCUUAUGUCCAGGGCCACACACGUGCUACAAUGGGCGGUACAAAGGGUCGCAAACCCGCGAGGGGGAGCCAAUCCCAAAAAGCCGCUCUCAGUUCGGAUUGGAGUCUGCAACUCGACUCCAUGAAGUUGGAAUCGCUAGUAAUCGCGGAUCAGCACGCCGCGGUGAAUACGUUCCCGGGCCUUGUACACACCGCCCGUCACACCAUGGAAGCCAGCUGUACCGGAAGUCGGUGCGCCAACCCGCAAGGGAGGCAGCCGCCUAUGGUAUGACUAGUGACUGGGGUGAAGUCGUAACAAGGUAA
rnacentral:rRNA from 1 species